CAUCCUGCUGUGUCUCCCUCACGCCCCUCAACCAAGAUGGUUCAGUUUCCUGGGGGCAGUUGGUGGAGGGAGGGGCCACUGCUGGGAGCAAGAUGGCAGAGCAACCCAUCCUGCUGUGUCUCCUCCCCUCCCCUCCAGCAAGAUCAAACUGAGCCAACCCCUCUGAAGAGGGAAAGUCAAAGAGCUUUCUUUAAAUAUGUAUAGUACAUUGAUUAUGGGAACUGUACCACAGCACUGUAUUAAAAUACCUUGUAUAUUUCAGACCCGUUACCUGAGGAAAGUUUUGGUUGAGAUUACUGGGAUCUAUUCUUUGUGGCAGAUUCCAAACUUCAACCGAGCUUGGCAGAGUGUCGUUCUGGCGUUGGCAAUUUCAGCUCCACAUUCAGCAAGUCCUAAUCCGCUGGGAGCCUGCCUCGAAUCUUUCAAGACACUGUUGAAGUAAGUGGAGAAACUUUUGGUGUAAGAGAAACGUAGCAACAUCCUCACUGGUGACAAAUCUCUUGUCUAUUUCGGUGGUAAAAUGGGCUGUUUUGCUCCAGAGGAAGGGAGAGAUUACCAAUUCCAAAAGAUCUCCUCAUGGUAUAUAUUAAUAGCCUCUUCGGCUUUCAAAUAUCCCUUGCAGAAAACUCAUAUUUUGCUUGCCGUGGUAGUUAACUAGUUGCAAAGAGUUGUUAACGGGCAGGAACAGCUCAAAAACUCAUUCCCAGGCUCCU
rnacentral:lncRNA from 1 species